GGCCCUUGUUCCGGCGGCCGGUGUCAGGGCCUGGCCCGGGGCAGUGACCGCCGAAGGGCCGCCAUGGAGGAGGGGGGGGCAGUUAAUGCACCAGGUUCCUUCUAGAGGCACCCUUCAGGUGCUCGGUAAACGCGCUCAGGGUGGCUCCUCCUAUUUUAUUAUUGAUUUAUCACUUAGCACGCAGGUUUCCGUCCACCUAACAUGGAAGAGACCCACUCUUACUGCCAUCAAACAAGCGCCACCGAGCCCCGGGCGCAGCUCCGUGCUCUGCCUGAUGUACAGCCCUGUAAUAGAGGGAACCUGUGGAGGAAAAGCAGAGAUCAUCUGUCAUGUCAAAACCCACAAAUUUCCAUAUGGCAUCAAAACUAUAGAAGCUCAAGGGGGAAUCCACGUUUACUUAAUUUUUGGCAUUCGGGUGUUCCAGUGAGGACUUUGGUUGUAUUAAACCUCCCUACAGUCAACGUGGCGACAGAGUUCCUGCCAGAGGGCAAAUCAGAACUGAUUUAAGUGCUCUGACUCAUUUUCUGAAGGAGCUUCUGAUACUGGAAACUAAUAUUAGAUGUCUAAUGUUAGGCAUUAUGGUUACAUCCCUCAGUGGCAAUGUCAAAUAAAGUGAUAAAGAUGUCUUCCCUGUAAAUAAUGCAUUAAAUAUUUCUCUGUAAGGGCUAUUGUUUAGUUAGAGUGCUGUGACAGUAGGACUACAAGUGAAUAGCAAAAGCAUAAAUUAGCGCAUUGGCAAAACACACCGCUUUCAAGCCUCAAGAGCAGCUGAACCUUUAAAGAGGAGUUGUGGUGAGACCAGGCAUAAUGACACCCAGCGUCGUACCUGUGUCCCCAUCUGUGACUCUCACCCCGGCUCACAGCUGUCUAUUAAGACUGGUCUCUUGAACACUACGCUCGGUUUCCCCCAGAGCGGAGGCAUGUCUGUCACUCUCCACCCCAAACUGCUUUGUAGGCAGGGGAAAAAUAAAACCCUGCACCCUGUUGUCCCCACAGCCUUCUGUGAAGUUCUCCAUCUUUCAGUACUCAUUGACUUAACACGUCAAGAAAAUCAAAUAUUCUUUCUCUUCAGAAAUCUGUUAAUUCAUUCAUGAAGACAUGUAUUAUUUACAAAGUCACACAUUGGAGUAGAUGCAGUUUUCAAGACUAUUAUUCAUUUCCAGGCUGCAUAGCGUCCUGGUCAAUUUAUAUUCAAUGCUGCUUUCUUGUUUAAUUAGCUCUUCUUUUUUUGGAUGCUUGCCCUUCUAUAUUAUUGUAGCCAGGAAAAAUAUGCUUUUCUACUCUUCCUUGUAAACUAUACAAGCCAAGGUCAUCAGAAAGCUGGCCAUCGCUUUUAUCUUAAUGAUACUCUCCCAAAUACAGUAUCAGUGGGUCAGGAAGUGAUAAUCAGAAGGGGCUCAUUCAAUGUUCCAGCCUGUCUACCUUUUAGAUUCUUUUAGGUUCCAUCCAGUCACAGAAAUGAUUAAUUUCUGGCAAUGAAAACUAUUACUACAAUUCAUCAAUACGGAUUUCCAAUAAUAAUUGGUUUUAAGGUUUGUUAUUGUUUUACGGUCUUCAGUGAGACAUGACCAGUGAAACUAGAUUUCUUUACAUCCUUCUAAUAUAAAAGUUGUUUCACUUUUGUGGAGUAAGUGAAUGUGGCCUCCCGUGAUCUCAUCGCCCUUAUUGAUGCAAGCCGUGGGAUAGAAAAACAACCCACACAAAAACACAGAACUGAGGCCUUGAUAUGCGGGACAGAAGGUCAGGGGCACAGCUGGAGCACCAAAGCAGAAGAGCGAGCUUAUCUAUGUUUAUACCAUAUGUGGAGCUGGUGCGAUAGAACACAUUCUGAGGCAGAGAGAAGGGAAAAAUACUUGCGCAGGAGGCAGCCUAUAUUAAGGCUGUUCUUUUGUGAAUAAACGGCUUUUUGGCUCUGCUUUUGCAUGAA